UACGUAGGGCGCAAGCGUUUAUCCGGAAUUAUUGGGCGUAAAGAGCUCGUAGGCGGUUUGUCGCGUCUGCCGUGAAAGUCCGGGGCUCAACUCCGGAUCUGCGGUGGGUACGGGCAGACUAGAGUGAUGUAGGGGAGACUGGAAUUCCUGGUGUAGCGGUGAAAUGCGCAGAUAUCAGGAGGAACACCGAUGGCGAAGGCAGGUCCCUGGGCAUUAACUGACGCUGAGGAGCGAAAGCAUGGGGAGCGAACAGG
rnacentral:rRNA from 1 species